CACCGCGGUUAUACGAGUAACACACAUUAAUACUCUACGGCGUAAAGGGUGAUUAAAAAAUAUCUAAACUACACUAAAGUUAAAACCUCAUCAAGCUGUCAUACGCACUCAUGAGCAAUAAACACAACAACGAAAGUGACUUUAUUAUAAAACAGAAUUUUUGACAUCACGAUAGUUAAGACC
rnacentral:rRNA from 1 species